UGCUGGAGAUUCCUGUUUCCUGUACUGGUGGCCUUCCAGAGGUUCCCAAACUGACUGGAUUUCAGAUUAUGGUACCAGGGGGAAGACAGGCACUUAGCCAAAUCUCUUUGAAAUGAGCAUUGUGACUCAGUGCGGUACCGACCAGGAGAUAAGAAGCCUUGGACUUCAAAAUCACUAGUUCUGAAUAUUUUUGAAAUCCAUUUAAACAACAGACACAGCUUGCACCAAAUCCAGCCUGUGCUGUUUGAAAGUCUCCAUCAGCUGUUCAGAAGGUGCGCUUUAUUUUUCUGAGAAUACUGGACUGAAUAUCUUCUAGUCUUACCUUUUGCAAGACUUUGUCUUGAAACCUUUAUUUAUAUAUAAUUUGGAAUAAUUUUGUAUGGAACAUCUAUGAUACAGGAAGUACUUCUGCUAUACAGAUCCAUGCAAAGAUCUAUCUAUCUUGAGCUCUCCUCUUGCAUUUUAAUUACUGACCCUGAUUAGAUCACUUUUUCUUAUUCU